rnacentral:tRNA from 1 species
GGGCGGUUAGCUCAGCGGGAGAGCGCCUGUCUUACACACAGGUGGACGGGGGUUCGAAUCCCUCACCGCCCA